rnacentral:rRNA from 1 species
GGAGUAGCAAUACUCCCGCCGGCGACCGGCGCACGGGUGAGUAACACGUAUGAAACCUGCCCGUAGCAGGGGGGGAUAAGCGGAAGAAAUUCCGUCUAAUACCGCGUAACAACCCUUGGAGGCAUCUCCUCGGGUUUAAAGGAAGCGAUUCCGGCUACGGAUGGUCAUGCGUCGCAUUAGCUGGUUGGCGGGGUAACGGCCCACCAAGGCGACGAUGCGUAGGGGUUCUGAGAGGAAGGUCCCCCACACUGGUACUGAGACACGGACCAGACUCCUACGGGAGGCAGCAGUGAGGAAUAUUGGUCAAUGGCCGCAGGGCUGAACCAGCCAAGUCGCGUGAGGGAUGACGGUCCUAUGGAUUGUAAACCUCUUUUGUCAGGGAGCAAAGGGCGCCACGUGUGGCGCUUUGCGAGUACCUGAAGAAAAAGCAUCGGCUAACUCCGUGCCAGCAGCCGCGGUAAUACGGAGGAUGCGAGCGUUAUCCGGAUUUAUUGGGUUUAAAGGGUGCGCAGGCGGAAUGUCAAGUCAGCGGUAAAAUUUCGGGGCUCAACCCCGUCGUGCCGUUGAAACUGGCGUUCUUGAGUGAGCGAGAAGUAUGCGGAAUGCGUGGUGUAGCGGUGAAAUGCAUAGAUAUC